GCCUAGGUAGCUCAGUUGGUAGAGCAUGCGACUGAAAAUCGCAGGGUCACCAGUUCAAAUCUGGUCCUAGGCA
rnacentral:tRNA from 1 species